rnacentral:rRNA from 1 species
CCUACGGGUGGCAGCAGUGGGGGAUAUUGGACAAUGGGGGAAACCCUGAUCCAGCGACGCCGCGUGGGUGAAGAAGUAUUUCGGUAUGUAAAGCUCUGUCAGCAGGGAAGAAAGAAAUGACGGUACCUGAGUAAGAAGCCCCGGCUAACUACGUGCCAGCAGCCGCGGUAAUACGUAGGGGGCAAGCGUGAUCCGGAAUUACUGGGUGUAAAGGGAGCGUAGACGGUAAUGCAAGUCUGGAGUGAAAGGCGGGGGCUCAACCGGCGUACUGCUUUGGAAACUGGGUAACUGGAGUGCAGGAGAGGCAGGUGGAAUUCCUAGUGUAGCGGUGAAAUGCGUAGAUAUUAGGAGGAACACCAGUGGCGAAGGCGGCCUGCUGGACUGUAACUGACGUUGAGGCUCGAAAGCGUGGGGAGCAAACAGGAUUAGAUACCCUAGUAGUC